UGUCAACAUAGAGUAAGUUGCAUAGUCGGAUGUCAUUUCAUAUAUAUAUAUGAAAUGACAUCCGACUAUGCAACUUACUCUAUGUUGACA
rnacentral:misc_RNA from 13 species